rnacentral:tRNA from 1 species
GGGGCUGGCUCAGUGGUAGAGCACUCACCUCACACGCGAGAGACCCUGGGUUCAAUCCUCAGCAUCA